GGAGACAAGCUCGUUUUUGAAUUACAGAAGGUGUACUCAGCGAGUUUCAUUUACUACAGCAUCUGCCCAUUCCUGAGCCUUCACGUAAACAAAAAAAACCAUUGAUGAGGUUUUUUGAUCUGGAAUCUUUCAGAGCAAAGCUGAUGUGCGUAAAGAUUCAAGAGGAGGCUAUUCUAGCAGGACUUGGUAAACAUAGGCAAAGCAGUUGCAAUGCCG